GAUUGGGCUCUACAUUCCAUCUGGAAGAGCUGCAGGGGGUAAUCCAGUUCAAAGUCCUGAGAAGCAGGCUGAAAAGAAGGGACAGUCAAGGAUGGGGGAAGACUCCAACUGAAAAGGAAAUAGGCUGCCUGUGCCGCCAGCAAGACAAAAGAACUCUGCAGGAACUGAUGGUUGAGGAGCAGCUGAAGAAAGAGUGGGAGGCAAAGUACAUGUGGGCCCCGUGCAAGGCUCAUGGCAAAAGGGAUGGAAGAGAGAGGGCCUGGCAGAAGAUGCAGGCGGAAAUGCAGAGGCUGCAGAGGGGGUGUGCUUCCUCCAUGGCACUCAUGGACCUGAAGAACGCUCUGCAGCUGGUACCAGUGGAGAUGAAGCAUCAGCAUGUCCUCAUCCCUCUCCCUCCAGCGAAGAAGGCUGAGGCAGCUCCCCUCAGCAAAUCAAGUGCCAGCUACCAAUUAGUAUGGAGUGUGCAGGCGGGGAAAGUGAUGGAGAAGAGAAAGGAGGCCUGGAAAAUCACUGGGCUGCGGCGCACUGCCUCUGUCUUGCUUCCGCGAUUGCGCUCUACACACAUUUCUAAUUUCAUUUCAUUAAGAUGUAAUAUUUAUCUUUAUUUCAAUAAUUUUUAUCUUUAUUUCAUUAAGAUUUAAUAAACAAAUAAACGGCUGUUCUACAGUUUUCUUUCCA
rnacentral:lncRNA from 1 species